rnacentral:sRNA from 1 species
AAGUAGCAUAUACUUCUCAUUUUCGUAGAAAAGAAGUUUUUACCUAGUUUUAUUUCCGCAGACCUUGUGUUCUAGACUUUUUGUAAUCCGGAUUUCUCUUUAUCUAUUCAGUAUUCAGCUUUGGUUCUUGAUUUUCGUUUACUGUUGUUCAUUCUGUUAUCACACUACUGUUACACUGUUGUUAUCAUGUCUUCAACCUGUUCAACGUUUAUGCUUUCUGUUAUGAUGUCUGAGUAGUGAAUAGGUUUCUGAGGAUGGGUUAGAGUAGUGUAGAAUUCUCAGUAUGCUAGGUGAUUGAGUAUUGAUUGAUAGAUCCCUUCUGGAUUAGUUGUUCUUAAUGCCUAUUGCUUUCUGAUCAACUGGAAUUUGAGCCCAGAUAUUUCCGCGCCCAAAAGGUAUUCGAUGAAAUGUCUGAACCACUAAUUCCAGAGAUUCGUGACCCUGUACCAAGGUAUUGGUUGCAGGGAGCGUUUUGGCUUUAACUUGUUGAUUCGUAAUGCCUGUUAGGUUAGCUUUCGUCAAUGGUGAUUGAGUCUGGGACUAGGUUAGCUUGAGAGUCUCUGUUGCGGUGGCACUUAGAUUUGGUUAAUGAACUUGUUGUCUAGGGUUAAUUUAUUGAGCAUGUCAAUCACCUGUAAACUGAGGAAACGAAACUACUCAAUUAUCCCAUCCUUAGAAAUUCUUUAUCUGAUUGAUUUUAUUGUUUACUCUACUACUGUUUACUGCAUCCUGUCAUCUGUUGCUUAGUUUCUGCAAUUCUUUACUGUUACUCGAUCUGAUACUCGACCACCCAGUUGUCUAGCAACAGACUAUGCAGUCGAGUAUCCCUGUUUCAUUUCCUGUCUGUUACUCGACCUGUCACUCGACCUCACCCAGAGCUCUGCAAAGAGCUGUGUUGGUCAAGUGUUUUACUGUUUCUGUUUGAUUUUCUGUUUUCUGCAUGUUCACUUAGGACUGCUAGAACACACCAAAACCUGUUAUGCUUGGCUUGACUUAGUGACUUCUGAUCACAUCUUGAUUGUUAGCAUCACACCCAUUUGGAUUGACAACCUAAAAUACUACAAUGACAUGAUUGGUGUUUUAGGAUAAUUGACUAAAAACCUAUUAUCAAGAGUCAACGGGCAAAGUCUUUUCCCAAAGAUGAGCUUUAUCUCCAAGUGAGAAAGGGAAUAACCUGAGCUUGAAGCUGUCUUCACUAACUCCAUUGAUCUUAGUGAGACUACAACGUCUAUCAAAGUUAUCAAGAUGAUCCAAUGGGUCCUCCAUUGGCAGUCCAUGAAACUUGUUUGAUUGUAGGAUUUUUACUCAAUUAAUCCCUAAAACACUAUCCUGUCGUUGUAGUAUUUUAGGAUGUCAAUCCAAUCCGGUGUGAUGCAAACAGAUGAGAAAUGAUCAGAAAGCUCUAAGUCAAGCCAAGCAGAAAGUUGGUUGGUUCUAACAGUCCUAGUAUACAAUAACAGAAAUGAAAUGAAACUAAAAGCAGAAAUGGCAAUAGCAGGCAAGUAAAUGACAAAGCAUAAAUGAUAACAUGCAAUCAAAUGGAUAAAUGAUUCCUAAGGAUGGGGUAAUCGAACAGUGUGGUCUACUUAAUCUAUUCAGGCGGUUGACAAAACUUCACAGAAGCUAUCCCUAGACAACAAGUUCAACAACAGAUUAAUUCACUCCUGUGAUAGAAAUCCUCAAGCAAAGCUAGACACUGACCUAAAUCCCUUUAGCGAUCUCUAACUAAGCAGGCAUUAUCGAAUCAACAUGUUAAAGUCAAUACCCUCUCUACAGCCAAUCCCUUGGGGUAGAGUCAGAUAUCUCUGGAAUUAAUAGGAUCCAACGCCCAUUAAACGCCUUCUGAGCGCUGGACGUCUGGACUCAUACUCCACAUUAGCUAGUGAAACAAGCAAUAAGCGCAACUAAUCCAGAAGGGAUUCUAGAAUUCUAAACUCAACCGCCUAAAACGACCAAGUAAACCACAACUAUUCUAUCCCAUCCUCAGAAAUACAGUUCAUUACUCCGACAUAAUCAAAGACAAUAACAAGGCAACAAUUGAAAACAUGAUAACAGAAAUGACGAAAGACUAAAACAAAAACUGAAUAUCAAAUACUUGAAAGCGAAACUACAAAGUCGCAGGAGAAACACUGCGGCUAUCAAAGUUGCGAAAAUGUAAAAGCGAGAUAAUAAUGGAUAAUAGCGGAUGCCCUAGGGAAAACCCUAAGAGGCAGUUUAUAUAAGCGAGAAAUAAAACAAAUAAGGAAACUAAAUAUAUAGCGAAUCUUCACGUCAUGAUCCUGCGACCGAAUAUGUCAUUGGCAUCUGACGGGCUGAAAUGAGCUUCCUAGUGAUCGAGUAUGUCAUUGAUCAAACUGGGCUUCAGGGGCUCCGUCUUGCGAUCGAGUGAGAUGCAGUGAAGUCGAGAUUGAAUGGUCCAGCGACCCUGUGAUCGAGUGCGAUCGAGUGGAUGUCAUGAGGUGGUGAUCGAGUGGUUUCUUCGACUUCUCUUCUCUUCUUUGUUCUCAGCUUGUCUGGUUGAGUGCAGAAUGAGCAGAUAGGCUUCCUGGUGAUCGAGUGGUUCCGAUGGGGUGAUUCCUCCGGCUUCGCGAUUGAGUGAAACUGAGCUGCUUGCUUCUCCGGGGUUGCGAUAGAGUGAUUUGCCCUGGCAGGGCUCCGAGGCUGCGAUAGAGUACUUUUGCUGAAGGCGUCAUUGGGCAUUCUGACUUCAUGUUCUGUUUUUCCUCUGUUUGAACUCCAAAAGCAUCCAAAGUACCUGAAAACAACCAAAUAUGCCAUGCACAUGCAAUCCUAAUGCAAAAUCGUCCUAAGUAUGUAAAACACACUAAAACGACUCCUAAUGAGAUGAAAUGUGGAUGAAACAAUGACAAACUGGUGAAGAAUGGAUGCCUAAAUCAUGU